rnacentral:rRNA from 1 species
GAGAGUAAAACAGUACGUGAAAUUGUUGAAAGGGAAACGAUUGAAGUCAGUCAUGCCGGCGUUGGAUUCAGCUUGCUUUGCGGAGCUUGCGCAUUUCCUCGCAUGGCAGGUCAGCGUCAGUUUUGCGCGGCGUGAAAAGGCUCGGGUAAGGUAGCUCUCUUCGGGGAGUGUUAUAGACCUGGGCAAAUGCGCAGCGCGGGACUGAGGAUUGCAGCGGACACCUCUUCGGAGGCGCGGCGACCGAACCCUGCUCGGCCACCCUCGUUCGAUAGCGUGCUAACGGACGCGGGAGCGGCAGUGCACCGGAACAGGCAAGCCAGCGGUUCGCUUAGGAUGCUGACGUAAUGGCUUUAAACGA